UAGCCGUGGGCGGUCGGGGCGUUACAUGUACAUUCCUAACCAGUACGAGAUAUGGUUAUAACUUCACUACAUUUUCAAGGUAAGGUAACAUAUGUUUAGAAUGUAUUCUUACAAAUCAACAAUUAAGUUUUAACAUAAGAAUAAAUGAAACCAGACUUCACACUAGACCAAAAAACACAACCUAUACAUUACAACAAAAUUUCUCUAUUUUCAGAAAUAUCAUUAAAUUAAAAAUAGAUAUAAAAUAUCUCAGAAAAUAAAAAAAAUUGAAAUUCUCUCACACUUGAAAUUUAGCACUGAUAGUCUAUUGAUAUCUCAUUUUAAUCAAAUUUUAUUUAAUAUAAAAAGUUGAAAAAUAAAUCUAUAAAAUAAAAUACUUAUAAAACUUUUAUAUAAAAAACUUCUGUGGCGUAGCGCAGGUAUUACCUAGUCAAUAUAAUAAUAGGAGAGUUUAUACUCUCCAUUUAGGUUAUCCACGUCAUCACCUCUCUCUAUUUGUGGGACCCACAUAACCACUGGCGAACGUUUGUUGAAUAAUCUGUGAUUUAUGAUUAUGAUGGGCCAUUGAAUUUGUUUGAUUUAUGAUGAGAUUUAUAAUAUACUCAUGAUCCCAUUACAUAUCCAAACUUAUACGUAAGUCCAUAUUUUAUCCAAACUAAAUAUCAAAGCCCAUAUAUGAUUUGUUCGGCGAUUAUGUCAAAGAGGGGCUCUCCGGCUACGAUGUACCAUCACUCUCUGAACCGGUGCAAUAUGUAAUUCACUAUCCAUAAACUCUUUCUUUCCCUGUAUCUCUUGAUCUCCUCAUCUUUCUCAACCCGAAGAGACGUUACUCUCUCAACAGCGGCAGUCAGUGUCCCGUUUGCAGUUACUCCUUAAAUAUCUCUGUCUCACUCUCUUUACGAGCAAAACCUGAAGCGUUUAUUAACCGGGAUUCAUAUAAAUAGGUGAGGGGUUGCAAGCUUCUCAUACACAUAAUCUUAGUAAUUCUUUCGUCGAUCCAUAGAUCACUCCUUAUAAAAUGUCUGUCUCUGAUGCAAAUUCCGCUUAACAUGCAACUUUUGAUGAUGUCCGCCUUGGUCGAUCCUCCCAGGAUUGCUUUCAUCCUAUAGUUUGAUCGAGUUUCAGGGCACAAUCUUAUUCCAAGAAGGGUUUAAGGGAAGAAUGUGGAAGGACAAGACUACGGGGGAAUCUGCUGUGGUGUUUUGACUGUAAAGUUGCAGAGCUUCCUUUAGUUGCAAUACGCAUGUGCGGCUACAAAUGUGAUGGAAGUUGAUCACCACCGUGAGUGAAUAUCUGAAGUGUAGCAAACCGUUGUUCCUGCAAACUUUCCCUGCAUUACAAAACUCUAUGAAUCCAAUUACUACUUCUCUUUUGUUUUGUUUUUCAUGUUUAGCGUUUUAAAAUUUUCUGCAACGAAGCUUGAAUUUGGAGCAGUGCUAUUUCGUUUUUAACAAAGAAGAAGCUCGACGGCUAUUUAGACCAUUGCAAACAAUCUUUUGUCCAUUCAAGUACUACCUCGAGGACCAUAGCUACACUUUGUACAAAAUUUAGGAUCUCAAUACCUUAUCCAUGUCGUAUUCUUUAAAAUAUGUCGCCUCUAUUUUACACAAGCCAAUGACUUUAGAAAGCUAACAUUUACACCGGAGUAUUUAGGGCCACUAAUUAAUGGGCUUACGAUAACCCAUUUUAAAACGUACGUCGUCCAAGUUUAAUUCAUAUUUCAGAGUUUCGAACUGGCUCAGUCCAAGUUUAACUCAACCAAUUUUAAAAACCACCAUCACCUUUACAUUAAAAAGUAACAUGUUAACUAAAAUGAUCACCACCUGUUUAAACUACUUUCUUUAUCAAGCAUGAUUAACAACUAUAUCAAACAAUAAAGUAGUCAAACUAUUUUAAUUA